CCUACGGGAGGCAGCAGUAGGGAAUCUUCCGCAAUGGACGAAAGUCUGACGGAGCAACGCCGCGUGAACGAUGAAGGCCUUCGGGUCGUAAAGUUCUGUUGUUAGGGAAGAACAAGUGCUAGUUAAAUAAGCUGGCACCUUGACGGUACCUAACCAGAAAGCCACGGCUAACUACGUGCCAGCAGCCGCGGUAAUACGUAGGUGGCAAGCGUUGUCCGGAAUUAUUGGGCGUAAAGCGCGCGCAGGCGGUUUCUUAAGUCUGAUGUGAAAGCCCCCGGCUCAACCGGGGAGGGUCAUUGGAAACUGGGAAACUUGAGUGCAGAAGAGGAAAGUGGAAUUCCAAGUGUAGCGGUGAAAUGCGUAGAGAUUUGGAGGAACACCAGUGGCGAAGGCGACUUUCUGGUCUGUAACUGACGCUGAGGCGCGAAAGCGUGGGGAGCAAACAGGAUUAGAUACCCUGGUAGUCCACGCUGUAAACGAUGAGUGCUAAGUGUUAAAGGGUUUCCGCCCUUUAGUGCUGAAGUUAACGCAUUAAGCACUCCGCCUGGGGAGUACGGUCGCAAAGCUGAAACUUAAAUGAAUUGACGGNUGAGAGNGCGAGCGACGACGAGGAGAGG
rnacentral:rRNA from 1 species